AACGAACGCUGGCGGCAUGCCUAACACAUGCAAGUCGAACGAGACCUUCGGGUCUAGUGGCGCACGGGUGCGUAACGCGUGGGAACCUGCCCUUAGGUUCGGAAUAACUCCCCGAAAGGGGUGCUAAUACCGGAUAAUGUCUUCGGACCAAAGAUUUAUCGCCUUUGGAUGGGCCCGCGUUGGAUUAGCUAGUUGGUAGGGUAAAAGCCUACCAAGGCGACGAUCCAUAGCUGGUCUGAGAGGAUGAUCAGCCACACUGGGACUGAGACACGGCCCAGACUCCUACGGGAGGCAGCAGUGGGGAAUAUUGGACAAUGGGCGAAAGCCUGAUCCAGCAAUGCCGCGUGAGUGAUGAAGGCCUUAGGGUUGUAAAGCUCUUUUACCCGGGAUGAUAGUGACAGUACCGGGAGAAUAAGCGCCGGCUAACUCCGUG
rnacentral:rRNA from 1 species